GACAGAGGCCUCAAGCGUUAGGCGGAAUCACUGGGCUUAAAGCGUGUGUAGGCGGAUCGUUAAGUGCCUUGUGAAAUCCUACGGCUUAACUGUGGAACGGCUGGGCAUACUGGCGGUCUUGAGCCAUUAGGGGCGACUGGAACAAACGGUGGAGCGGUGAAAUGCGUAGAUAUCGUAUGGAACGCCAAUGGUGAAAACAGGUCGCUGGGGAUGAGCUGACGCUGAGACACGAAAGCCAGGGGAGCAAACGGG
rnacentral:rRNA from 1 species